UACAGAGGUCUCAAGCGUUGUUUCGGAUUCAUUGGGCGUAAAGGGUGCGUAGGUGGCGCUGUAAGUCGGGUGUGAAAUUUCGGAGCUUAACUCCGAAACUGCAUUCGAUACUGCGGUGCUUGAGGACUGGAGAGGAGACUGGAAUUCAUGGUGUAGCAGUGAAAUGCGUAGAGAUCAUGAGGAAGACCAGUGGCGAAGGCGGGUCUCUGGACAGUUCCUGACACUGAGGCACGAAGGCCAGGGGAGCAAACGGG
rnacentral:rRNA from 1 species